rnacentral:piRNA from 1 species
UGACAGUACAAUUUGGGAGUCUUAAC